rnacentral:lncRNA from 1 species
AACUCCUAAAUCCAGACAAAAUACCUCUGUGGGAGGAGAAAAAAGAAAAGGAAUGAGCAGAGAAAUGCCUGUUCUUUAAAAAUCAGCUUUAAGCUGAAAGCCUGCACAACUUGAUUAUGCUUUUCCUCUUUGAAGCCCUGGCAUCCUGCUUCGCUCAAGUGUUUCCUGUGAGACAACUGAGCCUGCCUGCGUGGUCCUGGCGUGUUUCUAUUUGGCCUGAGAAGCUGAUCUUCACAAUUAUUGUCACCAAUUCAAGCCCAUCCAAGUAUCUGGCUUUGAGAAUAUUUGAAAUACUGCUGCCACUGUUUCAGAGACCCAGAUGUACUAGCUUGAAACAUUUAUGCUAUUAAAGGGGCUGUGAGAAAUUUUGGAUGAGGCUCAUGUUGACUUUGCAGCCAAGAUUUCACCCAUUUGUUGUAAGACUAGCUUUCAAACUUUUGAUCAAACCAUGGACUAACAGAUUCGUUUCCCCCACCCCUCAAAAUCUAAUUUGCAAAUAUAAUCUUCAGCCUGAGACCUAGGCUGCAAUUGCUACUGAUUGGAAUAGUGUGAGGGAAAUCAGGCUGAAUGAGGCUGUAUAAUUCUUUAUCUUAUAUCAGUAAUGAAAUGCCAGCAUUAGUUAAAAUAUCCACCAAAUGCCACAGGUUUAUACCUUAAGUGCAUUAUUCGCUCCUUGUUCUUUGGUAUUUCCCUGAGGGUGGAAAGGGCUGUAGUUAGAGGAGAAGAAACAAUGGUCUGAUCAAUCACAGACCUCUUGAAUUGCAAAUAAGACUCAGCAACCAGCUCGCAAUCCCCUGCGCUGGUCUGUUGAGCUUUCUGCAGCCCCCUCAUGUCAUUCUCCUAUGACUCUUUACAUAAUGCACACGCUGAAAUAUUUCUCACUGUUUAAUUUUUGGGAGCUUUUUAUAUUGCCAGUAAGGUGCUUUUAGGCUUGUAGAGCCUCUUGAAGCAGAGCCACUCUACGUUCCUGUCAGCACAGAGCCCGUGGUGUGGGAGGCAGGGUGACAGACCACUGACAGCUGCACCCUAACAGAGCACCUCUAUUGUACCUGAGUGCAAGCAGUUAUUAUCUUUCAUAUGAUGUGAAGAAAUGAGUAGUGAUCUGAGAAACGGUGCCGAGCUGCUGGUGUAGUCAAGUGCCUCGAGAUUUUACAACUGUCGUUAAAAAUGUGAAUAUUUCCUCUCAUCUCCUGCAAACACCAGCGUGGCCCCACUGGGAUCUCAAUGCUUUAGAGCCAUCCAGGUCUCUGUGACACAGCUGCCAGAAGGGACUGCCUGUGCUGCUGCUGCUGCAGGGAACAUCUGCAGCUCCCCGUGGUCUCCUCUUCCAUUACAGGGAAUUCUCGGGUGUUCCAGGCACAGAACAACAAAUAAUGCCUUCAUCCCCCAGGGCUUUCUCUUCGCCAUCUGAGAAAAUGUUUCACAAGUUUCUGCUGUGCAUUUAGAGCGGGAGUUUGCAGGGAGUUGUGUGAGUGUUCCCCCCUUUGCCUUGCCCUCAUGAUCGGGUUGAGACUGAAUGGCUGAUUUGAAAAUAUGCUCCAGAGAAACCAAAGCUAUUGAAGUCCUUCCUGGAUUCCUAGUGGAGAUGUAAAGGACUGGGAGAGUUGCAAAGGAACAGGAUAAUCCGAGCUUUUUCUUCUGUCUGUAAGCUGAAAAUCUUGAUGGAACAUGUGUGAGCUCCUGAGCAAGGCAAGCUUUGUUCAGUGACGCUUUUUAGUUAGAGAUGUGCUGAUGAUGGUUUCCAUGCAGUUGACAUCUGGCUCUUGGAAAAGGCUAAAAUGUUUUAUUACCCCGGUCUCAGACAAGGGCACACCUAAAUAGGAAGUCAUUUGAAAAAGAACUCUUCCCUGGCCUUUAUAUUUCGCUUAAAAUGUUUGACAAAAUUGGAUUUUAUUCUUGACUCAGCAAUAGAUAAAGAAUAUAAUGAGAAAGCAGCAAGUUGUGUGUAAAGCAAGCGGAGCUGCCUUGCCUUAAGACUGUUUCCAUUCAGGUGUCUGCUAUAAUAAUUCAGUGUACACUGCUUCCUUAUCAGAUUCUCCUAGAGAUCUCUGCUGUGUGCAAACAUAAAGGAACUUGGAAGCUGCUAAGCUUUCCAAAAUGUUAAUGUAAACAUGUUGCAUAUGUAGGACUAGUGAGCAUUUUCUAGGCCAAACACAUAUCAGACUGUGAUUAACUGAUUCAUUAGCUAAUAAUCAAUUGCUAUUGGUUUUGGGCAAGCCUGUGCCACGUGGGUUUGGCUUGCAGGGGUGGUUUAGCCUGUUACUUCUGCCCACUGCACGGAGGAAUCUCCAUCUGAACCAGGAGCUGUUGGGCAAUGAGCACUUCCAAGGAACAGCUUCCCUUGCUUGUUAAUUGGCAAUUACUGUAGGAAAAAAUAUCCAUGAUCUGGUGGCACCUAUCCCUCCACAAUGCCAUCCCAGACUUCAAAGCCUGUGUGGAUGAAUUCUGCCUCUGACGUCUGGUGAGGGUGCAGGAGUACAAGGAGGGGCAGAAUGAACCCACUGCUGAUAUCAACAGUAGGACCCCUUCUCUCCUGCUUGGCCUGGGUGAAUAAUUUGAGACUUAAUUUUAAUUGCAUUAAUCUUUUGCCCAGUAGCACAGCAGAUUGUGCCCAGAGAAGACUUCCACAGGAGUUGGGUUCCCAAGGACAAUAGCAUUGCUCAAUUAAACUAUCUCAUGUCUUGAUGCAUCAUUUAGGUUAUAUAAAUAUCCAGAUUUUUACUUUGAGUUUUAUUUGUGUCCCUUAACACUCCUGGAAAUACAGCUCUUAACUGAUCACAAUAAGAUCCUACUGAAAAAAGACUGGAAUUUCCUCAUUAAUAUCCAAUUUUGGUACAAUACAGUGUGGUAUUAAUGUCACUUUUGGUCAUGUACAGUUGUCCAGGGCCCUGACAUGGCUGGACAUAACAGCAUGACUUUUAUAACCUUGUUAUAAAAAGCAAUUAGGGGCAACAUCCAGCUCUGCAGCUACACAUCACGUGGAGAUGUAGGGAGCUUCCAACAGUGAAUUUAAUUAGCAGGAAACACAGAGUACUCUGUGACCUGCAGUGCAGAUAACACCGUUCCUGUCCAGCAAUGUUGGUUCCUUGCUCUGAAAGGGCACCAAAACUGCUCUGGUGCCAGACCCAUGCAUAACUUAGAGGCUGUCGAGGGACUGGAGAUGGAAACUUCCAACCAGGAAGGCUGAAUCAGGAAAUGAAAUGCUGUUAAAUCCCAUCUUGUACCAAGCAACAGCAUGGGCAGCAUGAAAACGCUGAGGAAUAAUCUAGCAGGAACCAUGUGCUAAUGCCAGCAGUAACUGGACAUGUCUCAGGAAUGUGUAUAACAGAUUUUGGUAACCAAAGCUGCACUGCACAGAGAAAUAAAAUGCUGCUUCACAUGUGUGAGUGC